UACAGAGACUGCAAGCGUUAUUCGGAUUCACUGGGCGUAAAGGGCGCGUAGGCGGUCCUGUAAGUCCUGCGUGAAAUCCCCCGGCUCAACCGGGGAACUGCGCGGGAGACUGCGGGGCUUGAGUUCGGGAGAGGGAAGCGGAAUUCCGGGUGUAGCGGUGAAAUGCGUAGAGAUCGGGAGGAACACCAGCGGCGAAGGCGGCGACCUGGACAGGUACUGACACUCAACUACGAAAGCGUGGGGAGCAAACAGG
rnacentral:rRNA from 1 species